rnacentral:rRNA from 1 species
GAUGAACGCUGGCGGCGUGCCUAAUACAUGCAAGUCGAGCGAAUGGAUUAAGAGCUUGCUCUUAUGAAGUUAGCGGCGGACGGGUGAGUAACACGUGGGUAACCUGCCCAUAAGACUGGGAUAACUCCGGGAAACCGGGGCUAAUACCGGAUAAUAUUUUGAACUGCAUGGUUCAAAAUUGAAAGGCGGCUUCGGCUGUCACUUAUGGAUGGACCCGCGUCGCAUUAGCUAGUUGGUGAGGUAACGGCUCACCAAGGCAACGAUGCGUAGUCGACCUGAGAGGGUGAUCGGCCACACUGGGACUGAGACACGGCCCAGACUCCUACGGGAGGCAGCAGUAGGGAAUCUUCCGCAAUGGACGAAAGUCUGACAGAGCAACGCCGCGUGAGUGAUGAAGGCUUUCGGGUCGUAAAACUCUGUUGUUAGGGAAGAACAAGUGCUAGUUGAAUAAGCUGGCACCUUGACGGUACCUAACCAGAAAGCCACAGCUAACUACGUGCCAGCAGCCGCAGUAA